ensembl:snRNA U4 U4 spliceosomal RNA
AGCGUUGCACAAUGGCAGUAUCAUAGCCAAUGAGGUUUAUCUGAGGCGCGAUUAUUGCUAAUUGAAAACAUUUGCUGAAUGCUUUCUAUAUACCAGGCAUGAAAUCAGUACCCUCUUUAUGCCUGUUACACAUAUGAGAAAAAUGGAGCUUGGUUGUGAUGCUAG